CCCAGUUCGGAUUGCAGCCUGCAACUCGGCUGCAUGAAGCUGGAAUCGCUAGUAAUCGCGGAUCAGAAUGCCGCGGUGAAUACGUUCCCGGGUCUUGUACACACCGCCCGUCACACCAUGGGAGUCGGGAAUGCCCGAAGUCAGUGACCCAACCGAAAGGGGGGAGCUGCCGAAGGCAGGCCUGGUAACUGGGGUGAAGUCGUAACAAGGUACC
rnacentral:rRNA from 1 species